AGUUUACCACGAUGAAAUGCAUGGGAAGUCCAUGUUUCAGGUGAUUACCCUGAUUAAACACAUGCUCCUAACUGACU